rnacentral:misc_RNA from 1 species
GAUGAAGAACGCAGCGAAAUGCGAUAAGUAAUGUGAAUUGCAGAAUUCAGUGAAUCAUCGAAUCUUUGAACGCACAUUGCGCCCGCCAGUAUUCUGGCGGGCAUGCCUGUUCGAGCGUCAUUACAACCCUCAGGCCCCCGGGCCUGGCGUUGGGGAUCGGCGGAAGCCCCCUGCGGGCACAACGCCGUCCCCCAAAUACAAUGGCGGUCCCGCCGCAGCUUCCAUUGCGUAGUAGCUAACACCUCGCAACUGGAGAGCGGCGCGGCCACGCCGUAAAACACCCAACUUCUGAAUGUUGACCUCGAAUCAGGUAGGAAUACCCGCUGAACUUAAGCAUAUCAAUAAGCGGAGGA